rnacentral:lncRNA from 1 species
CAGUUCAUCGUGGCCCUGUAGUUCGCCUCCUUCACCAAAGCUCUGUCAGGGACCUACAUGAAGAGUGCCAUCACUCAGAGAGACACUUUGACCUGUCCUGCUCUCUCAUCGGACUCAUAGACAGCAGCUUUGAGAUGGGUUUCAACAAUAACAUUGAGUUGCUUGAGAAUUCAUGUAGUAAAAACCAGAUACAGACUACAGUAUGAUCCAUUUUUUUGUGGUUCAAUCAGAGUCUGCUCUCAAUACUGUCCAGUUUUAUAGUUGUUCCUAUUAAUUGAUUGACUGGCGUUUGUCCAUGACUCUACUGUCAAACCCCUCACAUGGUUUUAUUUGAUGCUGUGUUGUUGCAGCCUAGUAUCCAAACUGAUAAACCAUUUUUAGUUGAAAAAAAACAGUGUUUAUAAUUUGCAAUUCCUGACUUCUGUAGUGUUGUGGUUUCUUGCAGGUAACCUGCUGUUCCUGGCUGUGGUCAGCCAUUUUGGGGCGAAGCUGCACCGGCCCAGGCUCAUUGCUAUGGGCUGUUUCCUCAUGGCUGUAGGAUCCUUCCUCACAGGCCUGCCACACUUCUUCAUGGGACGGGCUAUCAGGAGAGCUACCCAGUCCCAGAGGGCCAUCGUGGCUUCAUCAGUGAUGCCAGACUUCUGCAGAUGCAGAGAGCUGAGAGAGAGACCAUGGAAGCAAAGCAAAGAAAGAUAAGUGCUAUCCAUGAGAAUUAUGUCCGGACUGCUCUCAUCGGGGUUGGCAGCACCUUCGCGCACCACUUCGUCCCCUCUAUUCAGUGCAUUCCGUGGCCGAAAGCUCCACCGAGGCCUUUGCCACGAAGGCUUGAGCACAUAGCUCUGGCCCCACUGAAGAACGUGGUGGGGGUGGACGGUACCCAAGUUCGACCCGGAUCUCACUCUCUGGAGUCCAUCCAGGUAAAUAAGUCAUUCAGCAGCAGUAACGUGUGGCCUGUUCCCGUCCCUCCCACUGGAGCUCCCUCCAAGAGGGGCAAGAAGAAGAAGGGCAGGCGGGGAGUCAAAGCCCUGAAAGUCCAGUCGGAUCAGGGCUGUGCUGACAACAACGGACCCAUUGACCUGAUGGAGGAGGUGAGGGACAUCGAGCCUCACCUGAAGGAGGAGGCCUGGAAGGUGGUACAUGAGGUGAAGGCCAUGGGCAGGAGAAGUUUGGGCUCGGCCAUGUCCAUGGGGGAAAUAGCCACCAGCUCUCUGGGAAGCCUGAGCUCAGUGGAUAUGAACACCCCUGCGGAGCUCCGUGACUACUUGGAUGUUGGGACCCCGGUCAAGUUGCGUGACAGCCCACCCAGGCCUGCUCCCCCCCCCUACCAAGCCCAGGAGCAAACAGCCUCGGCCUAUAAGGUUCCUUAGCCUGCCAAAGGCUGCCACCGGCUCAGACAAUAAGGCAGCCAGUGAGCCAAAGGGCCAAAUAAAGAACCAGGCCAGAUUGCAGCCCCUGUCCAACCCAGAGCAGGCCCUGACUAAGACCUUCAAGCUGCUCCACUCUCCCUCUGAUGACUG